CCCUCUCAACAAUCUCAGAGAGAGUUUGUAUGGAAACCGCUUAUGCUUAUUCUCUGCUUAUUCUCUGCUGCUUGGUAUAACCAGAACUCGGAGAAUAAGCAUAAAAUGAACCGGCACUCAGUGACGUCAUGGAUUGGAUCGAAUCCUGUCCGGAGAAUGAUUGUUCCAAAUCGCUCAAGCCAUCACCACACCCGCUGUCAAAAUUAAAUUAAAACGAAACUCUUUUGUUUACUUUUUAUUCAAAGAUAGCCGCGUCGCUUUUCGUGCGCUUAUAAAACCCAGUUUUUGUGUAGAUUUCUGUGUACAAGCUUGAUUUCCUUGCUACCUAUCCGUGUUACCUCUGUGAUUGUGGGUGGUUGUUGUGUGCAAUUCGAUCGGGAGUUGCUAAUUGUUGCUCACCUGUAAAACCUGUAAGUUGGAUGAAAUCAAAUUGUAUGUUUUUCAACUAUUACUUUACAUUGAAACUAAAUGAAAAACUAAAAAUAACAUAAUUGCAGGUUACCAUGAGCGGUUCGAAUGUGGGAGCUACUAGCUGUGGAGCACACCCUAAAAUGAAACAAUCAUCGAAAUUAAACACAAGCACACCUUACCUCAGCGUCGGCAUCGUGCGUGAAGGCUAGAAAUUUCAUCCGGUUUUAUUCCAUGCUCCAAGCAUUUUUUUUCGCUUCCACCACAACUAAAUCAUACUUCCGUGGUUGAUUUUAUGUUUAUUCUACAAAACAAAACGUUUUUAAUGAUAAAUAUCAUAUAAUUUGCAUAAAAUACUUACAAAAUCA